GAUGAACGCUGGCGGCGUGCCUAAUACAUGCAAGUCGAGCGAACAGAUGAGGAGCUUGCUCCUCUGACGUUAGCGACGGACGGGUGAGUAACCCGUGGAUAACCUACCUAUAAGACUAGGAUAACUUCGGGAAACCGGAGCUAAUACCGGAUAAUAUAAUGAACCGCAUGGUUCAAUAGUGUAAGACGGUUUUGCUGUCACUUAUAGAUGGAACCGCGCCGCAUGAGCUAGUUGGUAAGGUAACGGCUUACCAAGGCAACGAUGCGUAGCCGACCUGAGAGGGUGACCGGCCACACUGGAACUGAGACACGGUCCAGACUCCUACGGGAGGCAGCAGUAGGGAAUCUUCCGAAAUGGGCGAAAGCCUGACGGAGCAACGCCGCGUGAGUGAUGAAGGUCUUCGGAUCGUAAAACUCUGUUAUUAGGGAAGAACAAAUGUGUAAGUAACUAUGCACGUCUUGACGGUACCUAAGCAGAAAGCCACGGCUAACUACGUG
rnacentral:rRNA from 1 species